UGCACAUAGCUCAGUUGGUAGAGCAUGAGAAUCUUAAUCUCAGGGUUGUGGGUUCGAGCCUCACAUUGGGCAAAA
rnacentral:tRNA from 1 species